GACGAACGCUGGCGGCGUGCCUAACACAUGCAAGUCGAACGGAGACAGUAGCAAUAUUGUCUUAGUGGCGGACGGGUGAGUAACGCGUGAGCAAUCUGCCCUUCGGAGGGGGACAACAGCUGGAAACGGCUGCUAAUACCGCAUAAUGUAUACUGGCGGCAUCGCCGGUAUACCAAAGAUUCAUCGCCGAAGGAUGAGCUCGCGUCUGAUUAGCUAGUUGGUAGGGUAAUGGCCUACCAAGGCUUCGAUCAGUAGCCGGACUGAGAGGUUGAACGGCCACAUUGGGACUGAGAUACGGCCCAGACUCCUACGGGAGGCUG
rnacentral:rRNA from 1 species